UACGGGGGGGGCAAGCGUUGUUCGGAAUUACUGGGCGUAAAGGGCGCGUAGGCGGCCUGCUAAGUCACACGUGAAAUCCCCCGGCUCAACCGGGGAACUGCGUGUGAUACUGGCGGGCUUGAAUUCGGGAGAGGGAUGUGGAAUUCCAGGUGUAGCGGUGAAAUGCGUAGAUAUCUGGAGGAACACCGGUGGCGAAGGCGGCAUCCUGGACCGAGAUUGACGCUGAGGCGCGAAAGCUAGGGUAGCAAACGGG
rnacentral:rRNA from 1 species